UUAGGUGCCUAUAUCGGUGGUGUCCACCUCUUCCCAUUCCGAACAGAGAAGUUAAGCCCACCAGAGCCGAUGGUACUGCGGUAACACGUGGGAGAGUAGGUCG
rnacentral:rRNA from 1 species